CCCUACGGGAGGCAGCAGUGGGGAAUAUUGCACAAUGGGGGAAACCCUGAUGCAGCGACGCCGCGUGAGCGAUGAAGUAUUUCGGUAUGUAAAGCUCUAUCAGUAGGGAAGAAAAUGACGGUACCUGACUAAGAAGCCCCGGCUAACUACGUGCCAGCAGCCGCGGUAAUACGUAGGGGGCAAGCGUUAUCCGGAUUUACUGGGUGUAAAGGGAGCGUAGACGGCAUAGCAAGUCUGAAGUGAAAGCCCAAGGCUCAACCAUGGGACUGCUUUGGAAACUGUUAAGCUAGAGUGCUGGAGAGGUA
rnacentral:rRNA from 1 species